rnacentral:rRNA from 1 species
UACAGAGGUGGCAAGCGUUGUUCGGAAUUACUGGGCGUAAAGGGCGCGUAGGCGGUUCGUUAAGUCCUGUGUGAAAUCCCCCGGCUCAACUGGGAACUGCACAGGAAACUAGCGGGCUUGAGUUCGGAGAGGUAGUGGAAUUCCCGGUGUAGUGGUGAAAUGCGUAGAUAUCGGAGGAACACCAGUGGCGAAGGCGACUACCUGGCCUGUUUCUUGACGCUGAGGCGCGAAAGCUAGGGAGCAAACGGG